GAGGGUAUAGCUCAGUGGUAAAGUGCAUGCUUAGCAUGCAUGAGGUCCUAGGUUCAAUCCCCAGUACCACCU
rnacentral:tRNA from 1 species